rnacentral:misc_RNA from 1 species
GGACAGUUCAUCAACUUGGUCAAAUCAUCAAUUGUAUUCAGCCCGAACACCCCACACCACAUCCGAAUGUCCAUUGCAACCUUGCUGCAAAUUUCAAACAUUGAUGUUCAUGAUAAAUUCUUGGGGUUUUCGGCAGAUAUUCCUCACUCUAAGCAUCAGGACUUUGAGUUCAUAAAAGGAAGAAUUGCCCAAAAAGUAGCGGGUUGAAAAGGAAAACUAUUAUCGAAGGGAGGUAAAGAGGUGCUUAUUAAGGCAGUUACAUCAGCAAUUCCUGUCUAUGCCAUGUCAUGCUUCAAAUUUCCAAGGUCUCUCUGUAAAAAAAUAAAUUAUAUUAUAUCCAAAUUUUGGUGGGG